rnacentral:rRNA from 1 species
GUGAACGCUGGCGGUAGGCCUAACACAUGCAAGUCGAACGGCAGCACAGUAAGAGCUUGCUCUUACGGGUGGCGAGUGGCGGACGGGUGAGGAAUACAUCGGAAUCUACUUUUUCGUGGGGGAUAACGUAGGGAAACUUACGCUAAUACCGCAUACGACCUACGGGUGAAAGCAGGGGAUCUUCGGACCUUGCGCGAUUGAAUGAGCCGAUGUCGGAUUAGCUAGUUGGCGGGGUAAAGGCCCACCAAGGCGACGAUCCGUAGCUGGUCUGAGAGGAUGAUCAGGCACACUGGAACUGAGACACGGUCCAGACUCCUACGGGAGGCAGCAGUGGGGAAUAUUGGACAAUGGGCGCAAGCCUGAUCCAGCCAUACCGCGUGGGUGAAGAAGGCCUUCGGGUUGUAAAGCCCUUUUGUUGGGAAAGAAAAGCAGCAGGUUAAUACCCCGCUGUUCUGACGGUACCCAAAGAAUAAGCACCGGCUAACUUCGUG